GACGAACGCUGGCGGCGGGCUUAACACAUGCAAGUCGAACGGAAAGGCCCUGAGUUUGUGGGGUGCUGGAGUGGCGAAGGGGGGAGUAAGACGUGAGUAACCGGCUCUUGAUUUUGGGGGAAGUUCACGAAACUGGGGCUAAGAUCGGAUAGGAGCUCCUGUUCCAUGGAGGGGGUGGGAAAGUUUCGGCGGUUGGGGAUAGACUCGCGGCUUAGGGGCUAGUUGGUGGGGUAGGUGCUGACCAAGGCUUUGGCGGAUACCCGGCCUGAGAGGGUGACCGGCCACAUUGGGCCUGAGAUACGGCCCAGAGUCCUACGGUGGGCAGCAGUGGGGAAUCUUGCCCAAUGGGCGCACGUCUGAUGCAGCGACGCCGCGUGCGUGAUGACGGCCUUCGGGUUGUAAACCGCUUUCGCCUGUGACGCCGCGUGACUGACGGUACCGGGUAAAGAAGCACCGGCUAACUUCGUG
rnacentral:rRNA from 1 species